rnacentral:rRNA from 1 species
UACGGAGGGGGCUAGCGUUGUUCGGAAUUACUGGGCGUAAAGCGCGCGUAGGCGGACCUGCAAGUCGGGGGUGAAAGCCCGAGGCUCAACCUCGGAACUGCCUUCGAUACUGCGGGUCUCGAGUCCGGGAGAGGUGAGUGGAAUUCCUAGUGUAGAGGUGAAAUUCGUAGAUAUUAGGAAGAACACCAGUGGCGAAGGCGGCUCACUGGCCCGGUACUGACGCUGAGGCGCGAGAGCGUGGGGAGCGAACCGG